GGGAUAUUUUUUGGCACAGAGAUCAAAUGACAAGUCAAUCAAGUUUUCGCGUCUGUGUGAGAUGCAAACUGAAUCGUGCAAAUGAAGCCUAUGAUCUCACUGUUACCUGGGUUGCAUCAGGAGAGGCCGUGGUUGUCAAGACAACACCAAUUAGGUCAGACUUACCUUCCGGCAUAGCUAGCUGUGACUAAACCCUCAUAAUAACAUUCACGUUGUUGUGCUCGUGGUGUGUUUGGGCGUGCAGCCGGCUACAGCAGCUCAGACCGUGUCUUUUUCAUUCCUCAACCGUAAUCCCUCAACAGGUCGUAAUUGUCAACAAUGAGCGAGAACAACAACGCAACCACAUCUCCCGCCACUGAUCAUUCCGAGGAUACCAUGGAACCACUGCUUGACCCAGCAGACGAGAAAAUCCUCAAAUUCAGCAGUGUGUACAUGAUAGGCAAACACGCCCUGCUUGUCUGCUUCUACACCACCUUACUCUUCGGUGCCUUCUACCAACCGUGUCCUAUGCAGUGUGCCGCUCUGUGGAUAGUGUGCAUACUCGGUGUCAUUCAUAGCAUCAGCAGCAUCAUGUAUGAGGUUUUCAUGGUAUGGGCCUUCAAAGACCUCCAGUCUCUCAUGGAGAAAUCUGAAAAGUCAGGGCCACGUUAGAUAUAUGAAAGACCAAUAUCCCAACGUGGAUUCUUUUCGCAUACGUAUGAAUAUUGUUUGCCAGAAAAAUAAAACUACUCAGUGUUCAGUGUAAUUGAGAUUUAGUAAAGAUAUGGAAAGACAUUUGGGGUAGUUUUCCACCAUCUUUUCUCAAAUGUAUUUUUGUCAAAGAAACAUGGAGACGAAAGAUGUGAAAACAUGUAGAAUAUCUGAUGACGACAAGAAAUACCUGAGUGAAGAUUAGGAUUUUUAGUGUAUGUGUAACACUUGUAAAAAAAAAUGCCAGCUGUGUAAACGCUAUUACUCUGUAACUGUCUACAAUGAAAGCUGACUGUGUUUAAAUUUGUUGAGUGAUAUCUAUUUGUACCAUACCACUUAUUUGCUGGAUAAUUGUAAUGAACUUUGAUCUGUUUAGUUUUUCAUCUAUUACGUCAGUAAAGUAAUCCAAGGUAAAUGAGCAUGUAUCCAGCGUCGUUAAUCCGUUAAUUACAGUUAUUCUUUACAUUGCUAAGUCGAGCACAGUGUGUCGUCUGCUGUCAGUUGAUAUGCAGAUGUAGUAGGGUCAAUUUGCAGUUAGCCUGUGGCAAUUAUAUGUUUAGUUUUGUAGUUUGGCAGUUUACUUCUGUGCAGAUAAUAGAUAUGCAUCUACGUACACGACAGUACGAUAGGUUUAUUAGACUGUUCGUUAGGCAUAGUCCCUUAUAUGAUUAAAAUACUGGA